UGAGGAAUUUUGCGCAAUGGGAGCAAUCCUGACGCAGCAACGCCGCGUGGGUGAUGAAGGCCUUCGGGUCGUAAAGCACUGUCAGGUGGGAAGAAUGUCCCGGGACUGAACAGGUUUUGGGAGUGACGGUACCACAAGAGGAAGCACCGGCUAACUCCGUGCCAGCAGCCGCGGUAAUACGGAGGGUGCAAGCGUUAUUCGGAUUUAUUGGGUUUAAAGGGUGCGCAGGCGGAUCGGCAAGUCAGGGGUGAAAAGUUGAGGCUCAACUUCAAUCGUGCCCUUGAUACUGUCGGACUAGAGUGUGAGAGACGUGGCCGGAAUGUGAUGUGUAGCGGUGAAAUGCUUAGAUAUGUCACAGAACACCGAUCGAGAAGUCAGGUCACGAGUUCACAACUGACGCUCAUGCACGAAAGCGUGGGGAUCAAACA
rnacentral:rRNA from 1 species